CACGUAGGGUGCGAGCGUUGUCCGGAAUUAUUGGGCGUAAAGAGCUCGUAGGCGGUGUGUCGCGUCGGCCGUGAAAACCUGCAGCUUAACUGUGGGCGUGCGGUCGAUACGGGCAUCACUGGAGUUCGGCAGGGGAGACUGGAAUUCCUGGUGUAGCGGUGAAAUGCGCAGAUAUCAGGAGGAACACCAAUGGCGAAGGCAGAUCUCUGGGCCGUAACUGACGCUGAGGAGCGAAAGCGUGGGGAGCGAACAGG
rnacentral:rRNA from 1 species